AUGCAUGAGUUAACUAAGGAAAACAUUGAGCGUAUGAAUGCUAAAUAUAAACUUGCUGGAGAUAAGGGUAGAAAACAUGUUGUGUUUGCACCUGGAGAUCUUGUUUGGUUACAUUUGCGUAAGGAUAGAUUUCCUGAUUUGCGCAAAUCAAAGCUAAUGCCACGUGCUGAUGGUCCUUUUAAGGUGUUAGAGAAAAUAAAUGAUAAUGCAUAUAAACUUGAGCUGCCUGCAGAUUUUGGGGUUAGUCCCACUUUUAAUAUUGCAGAUUUGAAGCCUUAUUUGGGUGAGGAAGAUGAGCUUCCGUCGAGGACGACUUCAUUUCAAGAAGGGGAGGAUGAUGAGGACAUCAAUACAAUUAUUACACCCACAGUCCCUGCUGCUAUACAUACUGGACCAAUUACUAGAGCUCACGCACGCCAAUUAAAUUACCAGGAAACAGACCCUCGUGGUCAGGUUGAUCGUGCUCCGGCGUGGUCGAUAACCUCUCGGAGUUGGUUUAGCGAUUGCUAA
rnacentral:rRNA from 1 species